rnacentral:lncRNA from 1 species
UAGAAGGGUUCACUUUACACCUGUUUUGCUUCUCACAGAUUAAUGUUGAAGCAAGUUCUCGCUCCAGUGUUGUGGUCAUCUCGCUGAACCAGGCAGUCAACAUGGUCCAGAGCAUGGUUCCUUCAGUGGAAGAAGAAGACAGAGGCACGUUGUCUAAACGGAGCAUCGUCCAAAGCUGCGGAAAUGUGCCGAUGGUUCGUCUUCAUGGGUACCACGGGAGUCUGAGCCAGGCGCUGGGCUGGAAUGUCACAAUCAUUCAGGUGUGGAGUGUGAACACCUUCAGCAGCACAGUCAGAUCUCCCAGGAGCAGCGAAGAAACCUACGCGAGCCUCAUCACCUCGGAUCCGAGCAGCAAUGCAGUCAUCGCCAAGCAUCGAGUGCAAAGGAAGCUGCAGGAUGAGCAGGCCAGUGUGACAGCCCACAUGGAGGUGCUCUUUUUGAAAGGGGUGCAGUAUAGUGUGGUGGAGAACAUGGGCCCAGCCAUCCCUGUUGAUCACAUGACUGUUAGGGUGUUGGCUGUCUGCUGGCACUGA